CAUGGACAAACUCUUCACGACUUGGAGUUCGCGGCGAGCGAUCAUGGCGACCGACUCUCCUCACUCGAUUCCACCGUCAGUGCGCUCAAAGCCCAAGUGAAAACACUGACGGACAAAUGUAAGGAUUUGUAGGGGAGAUCGAGGAGGAACAACCUACGACUGGUGGGAAUACCCGAGGGCUCUGAAGGACAGCGUCGGACAGAAUUCAUCGGCGGCUUAUUGAAAGACGUGCUGAAGCUAGAUGAAGUCCCGCUACUCGACAGAGCCCAUCGCACCCUGCCUGCCAAACCUAAGACGGGAGAGCCGCCCCGACCGGUUGUCAUCAGGGUCCACUUUUUCCAUAUCCGGAACGAGAUUCUACGACGGGCCAGCGAAACAUCCCGCGGCUCCCCUCUGCCUUUUCAGGGCAAGAAACUGUCAAUUUCCCCCGACUAUACCGUCGCUGUUGCCAAGAGGAGAGCUGCGUUUGGACAUUCCUGUGAUCGACUCUGACUCAGCUGAGAAGCUAGAGGAGCCUAUAACUGUGGAAGAGCUUCAGAGGGCUGCUCACGCUAUGCAGAUACCCCCAUUGACUCCUUUUUGAAGCCUGUUGAUUUCUUCACUACGCCCUAACUCUCAACAAAACACUAAGCACCGAUGGGAGGAGGACCUGGGUGAGGAGAUUACCGAGGAGCUAUGGGAUGUAAUUCUACGCCGGGUUCAUUCCUUGUCAAUUUGUUCCAGACAUGGGCUGAUGCAAUGUAAAAUGGUUCAUCGCACACAUUUAACCAAAGUUAGACUUUCCAAGAUUUAUGGUAACAUUGACCCCACCUGUGAAAGAUGCCAUCAGGCGUCUUAUUUUUUAUUCUAUUUUUUUUCUUCCCUUUUUGGACAUGGUGACUUGGGUGCAUUUCUUUGAGUUGUUUGAUCACUGCACUUUCAGUUUUUAUUAUUAUAUAUUUUUUUUUCUUAUUCUCUGUGGGCAAGACUUUAUAAUAGUGUUUGAUAAUGUUUAUGGUCUUUGUAUUUGUGUUUGAUGGGUUAGGCGACCAAGCAAGCUAUCUAUUUUCUUCUUUUGUUUGUUUGUUUUGUUGUUUUGUUGUUUCAGUGUGUGUCUCUCUAUGCUAUGUAUAAAUGUAAAUGUAUGCUUUGAUAUGACAUUUUGUACGCUUAUGUCUGAAACUUCAAUUAAAAAAGUUUUGAAAAAAAAUAAAGAAAACAGAAUCGGAUA